UACGGAGGGGGCUAGCGUUGUUCGGAAUUACUGGGCGUAAAGCGCACGUAGGCGGGUCUUUAAGUCAGGGGUGAAAUCCUGGAGCUCAACUCCAGAAAUGCCUUUGAUACUGAGGAUCUUGAGUUCGGGAGAGGUGAGUGGAACUGCGAGUGUAGAGGUGAAAUUCGUAGAUAUUCGCAAGAACACCAGUGGCGAAGGCGGCUCACUGGCCCGAUACUGACGCUGAGGCACGAAAGCGUGGGGAGCAAACAGG
rnacentral:rRNA from 1 species